UGCAGCCGUCGUCCGCAGAGCCAGUGCCUAGCGCAGAGCCGCGCCCGCCAUGAGGGAGAUCGUGCACAUCCAGGCGGGCCAGUGCGGGAACCAGAUCGGCACCAAGUUUUGGGAAGUGAUCAGCGAUGAGCACGGCAUCGACCCGGCCGGAGGCUACGUGGGAGACUCGGCGCUGCAGCUGGAGAGAAUCAAUGUCUACUACAAUGAGUCAUCGUCUCAGAAAUAUGUGCCCAGGGCCGCCCUGGUGGACUUAGAGCCAGGCACCAUGGACAGCGUGCGGUCCGGGCCUUUUGGACAGCUUUUCCGGCCUGACAACUUCAUCUUUGGUAGGUUCCAUCUUUCUCACUUUCUUCUUCUUCUUUUAUUUUUUUUAAAUCAAAUACUUUAUAUGCCAGAUUUAAAGCAUCAC
rnacentral:sRNA from 1 species